rnacentral:rRNA from 1 species
CCUACGGGAGGCAGCAGUGGGGAAUAUUGGGCAAUGGGCGCAAGCCUGACCCAGCAACGCCGCGUGAAGGAUGAAGGCUUUCGGGUUGUAAACUUCUUUUGUCAGGGACGAAGCAAGUGACUGAACCUUACGAAUAAGCCACGGCUAACUACGUGCCAGCCGCCGGGAUAAUACGGAGGUGGCGAGCGUUCUCCGGAUUUACUGGGUGGAAAGGGCGUGUAGGCGGGAAAGCAAGUUAUAUGUGAAAACCACGGGCUCAACCGGUGACCUGCAUUUGAAACUGUUUUUCUUGAGUGCAGGAGAGGGAAGUGGAAUUCCGGGUGUAGCGGUGGAAUGCGUAGAUAUACGGAGGAACACCAGUGGCGAAGGCGGAUUGCUGGACAGUAACUGACGCUGAGGCGCGAAAGCGUGGGGAGCAAACAGGAUUAGAUACCCCAGUAGUC